rnacentral:rRNA from 1 species
UACGUAGGGCGCAAGCGUUGUCCGGAAUUAUUGGGCGUAAAGAGCUCGUAGGCGGUUUGUCGCGUCUGCUGUGAAAACCCGAGGCUCAACCUCGGGCCUGCAGUGGGUACGGGCAGACUAGAGUGCGGUAGGGGGAGAUUGGAAUUCCUGGUGUAGCGGUGGAAUGCGAGAGUAUCGAAGAAGACACCAACGCGGAAAGGCACUCUCUGGG